rnacentral:rRNA from 1 species
CCCUAUGGGGUGCAGCAGGCUGGAUCUCGAUCAUCGGAUGAGCUGAUCUGAUAGCGACCAGCCAGCCAUCAUAAUAGGUAGCUGGCUCUUGUUGCUGGCAAUCGCCGUAGCAUGCGCUUUUUCUUCUUGUAGUCUGAGCGAUAUAGGGCGUUGUCUUUCCGGCAAAGACAGAGCUGCCAUCAUCCGUUUGAAUGACUGAAUAGCCCUUAUCAUCCAGUUUGCUGCCAAAUGUCUGAUCCCAUAUCCUUUCGCCAUUCUGAUCGGUCAUGAUCAGCCAGGCAUCAAAGCCCCCCGAGCCAAAAGAUCUUGUCGAGCCUAUGAGAAUAUGGAGGCCUUCUCUUGUCUUGACCAGGGAGCCUCCUUCCUCAUCGUAUGCUCCGCCAUAAACCUUAUCUGCAAUUUUAUCUCCAUUGGCAUCGGUCUUGAUAAACCAGAUAUCAUAUCCCCCAGAGCCAAAGGAAUUGGCGGGGGAGC